rnacentral:rRNA from 1 species
AUGUGGGCUCCUCCACAGUGCAAUUUUUUCGCCUGGCUUGUACUUCAAGAUAGAAUCUGGACACCGGAUCACCUUGGUCGACGUGGGUGGCCCAACUGCAGGCCAUGCCCUCUUUGCACGCAAAGUCCAGAGACGGCAGCCCACUUACUUUUCCAAUGUCGUUUCACCCUUUGUGUGUGGAACGAUAUUCUUCACUGGCUUGGCAUGGAUCACAUUCAUACUACUACUUGGUCAGCGAGGGGCUCGGUGUGGGAAUGCUGGAAUGGAAAUGUCUAUCUUUGCUCCGAAUCCCCCAAGGCGCUUGCCUCACUCAUGAUGCUAAUCUCCUGGAAAAUUUGGACGGAGCGCAAUGCUAGAGUUUUCCGCAACACGGCCGCACCUACGACGGUCGUCAUUAGUAAGAUAAAAGAGGAGUUGUCGCUUUGGGUGGCGUUAGCGGGCGCCUAG